rnacentral:rRNA from 1 species
GACGAACGCUGGCGGCGUGCUUAACACAUGCAAGUCGAACGGAAAGGCCCUGCUUUUGUGGGGUGCUCGAGUGGCGAACGGGUGAGUAACACGUGAGUAACCUGCCCUUGACUUUGGGAUAACUUCAGGAAACUGGGGCUAAUACCGGAUAGGAGCUCCUGCUGCAUGGUGGGGGUUGGAAAGUUUCGGCGGUUGGGGAUGGACUCGCGGCUUAUCAGCUUGUUGGUGGGGUAGUGGCUUACCAAGGCUUUGACGGGUAGCCGGCCUGAGAGGGUGACCGGCCACAUUGGGACUGAGAUACGGCCCAGACUCCUACGGGUGGCAGCAGUGGGGAAUAUUGCACAAUGGGCGGAAGCCUGAUGCAGCAACGCCGCGUGCGGGAUGACGGCCUUCGGGUUGUAAACCGCUUUCGCCUGUGACGAAGCGUGAGUGACGGUAAUGGGUAAAGAAGCACCGGCUAACUACGUGCCAGCAGCCGCGGUGAUACGUAGGGUGCGAGCGUUGUCCGGAUUUAUUGGGCGUAAAGGGCUCGUAGGUGGUUGAUCGCGUCGGAAGUGUAAUCUUGGGGCUUAACCCUGAGCGUGCUUUCGAUACGGGUUGACUUGAGGAAGGUAGGGGAGAAUGGAAUUCCUGGUGGAGCGGUGGAAUGCGCAGAUAUCAGGAGAAACACCAGUGGCGAAGGCGGUUCUCUGGGCCUUUCCUGACGCUGAGGAGCGAAAGCGUGGGGAGCGAACAGGCUUAGAUACCCUGGUAGUCCACGCUGUAAACGGUGGGUACUAGGUGUGGGGUCCAUUCCACGGGUUCCGUGCCGUAGCUAACGCUUUAAGUACCCCGCCUGGGGAGUACGGCCGCAAGGCUAAAACUCAAAGGAAUUGACGGGGCCCCGCACAAGCGGCGGAGCAUGCGGAUUAAUUCGAUGCAACGCGUAGAACCUUACCUGGGUUUGACAUGGAUCGGGAGCGCUCAGAGAUGGGUGUGCCUCUUUUGGGGUCGGUUCACAGGUGGUGCAUGGCUGUCGUCAGCUCGUGUCGUGAGAUGUUGGGUUAAGUCCCGCAACGAGCGCAACCCUUGUUCACUGUUGCCAGCACGUUAUGGUGGGGACUCAGUGGAGACCGCCGGGGUCAACUCGGAGGAAGGUGGGGAUGACGUCAAGUCAUCAUGCCCCUUAUGUCCAGGGCUUCACGCAUGCUACAAUGGCUGGUACAGAGAGUGGCGAGCCUGUGAGGGUGAGCGAAUCUCGGAAAGCCGGUCUCAGUUCGGAUUGGGGUCUGCAACUCGACCUCAUGAAGUCGGAGUCGCUAGUAAUCGCAGAUCAGCAACGCUGCGGUGAAUACGUUCCCGGG